rnacentral:rRNA from 2 species
GUGAGGAAUAUUGGUCAAUGGCCGAGAGGCUGAACCAGCCAAGUCGCGUGAGGGAAGAAUGUCCUAUGGAUUGUAAACCUCUUUUGUCAGGGAGCAAAGUCACCCACGUGUGGGUGUUGGAGAGUACCUGAAGAAAAAGCAUCGGCUAACUCCGUGCCAGCAGCCGCGGUAAUACGGAGGAUGCGAGCGUUAUCCGGAUUUAUUGGGUUUAAAGGGUGCGUAGGCGGGUUAUCAAGUCAGCGGUAAAAUCGUGGAGCUCAACUCCAUCCAGCCGUUGAAACUGAUGAUCUUGAGUGGGCGAGAAGUAUGCGGAAUGCGUGGUGUAGCGGUGAAAUGCAUAGAUAUCACGCAGAACUCCGAUUGCGAAGGCAGCAUACCGGCGCCCGACUGACGCUGAAGCACGAAAGCGUGGGUAUCGAACAGG